rnacentral:rRNA from 1 species
AGUGAACGCUGGUGGCAGGCCUAAUACAUGCAAGUCGAACGGCAGCACAGUGGAGCUUGCUCCAUGGUGGCGAGUGGCGGACGGGUGAGGAAUACAUGGGAAUCUGCCCAGUCGUGGGGGAUAACGUAUGGAAACGUACGCUAAUACCGCAUGCGCCCUUCGGGGAAAGUCGGGGACCGCAAGGCCUGACGCGAUUGGAUGAGCCCAUGUUCGAUUAGCUAGUUGGCGGGGUAACGGCCCACCAAGGCGACGAUCGAUAGCUGGUCUGAGAGGAUGAUCAGCCACACUGGAACUGAGACACGGUCCAGACUCCUACGGGAGGCAGCAGUAGGGAAUAUUGGACAAUGGGCGCAAGCCUGAUCCAGCCAUGCCGCGUGAGUGAAGAAGGCCCUCGGGUUGUAAAGCUCUUUGUUGGGGAAGAAAAGGCAGUUGGUUAAUACCCGAUUGUUCUGACGGUACCCAAGAAUAAGCACCGGCUAACUUCGUGCCAGCAGCCGACGG